rnacentral:rRNA from 1 species
UACGGAGGGAGCUAGCGUUGUUCGGAAUUACUGGGCGUAAAGCGCACGUAGGCGGCUUUGCAAGUUAGAGGUGAAAGCCCGGGGCUCAACACCAGAACUGCCUUUAAGACUGCAUCGCUUGAAUCAUGGAGAGGCGGGUGGAAUUCCGAGUGUAGAGGUGAAAUUCGUAGAUAUUCGGAAGAACACCAGUGGCGAAGGCGGCUCGCUGGGCCGGACCUGACGCUGAGACGCGAAGGCGUGGGGAGCGAACGGG